rnacentral:tRNA from 1 species
CAAAAAGUAGCUUAUAACUAAAGCACUCGUCUUACAAUCGAACGAUAUUACAUAUACAAUCUUUUUGA